AGUCCGCGUCAUCUCUACUUUAUUGCAUUAUUAGUUGCUUUUAUUAUUGAUCGAGUCAAUUGGUUAGUUGCUUUUGUUAUUGGUCGAGUCAGUUUGGUUAGUUGCUUUUGUUUUAGUCAAGUCAAUUGGGUUAACUGUUGAGUCGUGUAAUUGGGUCGAGUGAUUAGAUCGAUUUUGGUAUGUAAUCAAUCGGUUGACUUAGUCAACGGAUUGAGAUCCACUUUUGGUAUAUUGUCAAUUGUUUGACCUGAUGUAAGGCCUAUAUAAAGACCAUCCCUCUCAUGAAUUAGGGCAAUUGAAUGAUUGAAUGAAAACCUAACCUCCUUUCUUCUUCUUCUUCAUCCUCUUCUCUUCUUCUUGCGUCUCUAUAACCUCUUUUUCCUCCUCCUUCCCUUCUUCUUUCUCUUUNNNNNNNNNNNNNNNNNNNNCUUCUUCUUGCGUCUCUAUAACCUCUUUUUCCUCCUCCUUCCCUUCUUCUUUCUCUUUCUCUCUUCUUCCUGCAGUGGUUCGCCAUCAGCUUGGUAUCAGAGCAGGCCGGCUUUGCCCCUGCUGUCAAAGCCACGAUCCAGUUUCUUUUCUUCUCCUCUCUCUCUCUCUCUCAACCCUCACACGAAGAAAAAGAGGAAAAAAGCCCCUCAUCUGUUGCCAAAGGAGAAGACCCCCGUUUGUUCCCUCCCUCCUGUGCCAGCACCCCACCGCCACUGAAGCCUUCCCUCUCACCUCGUUCCUCCCCCUCUCGGUUUUCACCAUAUAUAAAAAAAAAAUAUUCCUCCUCUGUUGGAACCCUUUUCCCUCCUCUGUUGGAACUGAGAGGGAGAGCCCCCCCCUUUCCCAUGUCCGAGGCCGCCGCACAGCAUCUAUGGCCACCACCAUAGGAAGAUCUCCCCCACCUCUGCAUCGAGCCGCCUCCCCACCGCCGAAUUUCGCUAACGAGCAGACCACCCGCAGUGCCACCCCACCUCCACCUUCACCGCCGGAAGCCGCCUUCGGCCGCCGCCAUGACCGGCCACCCCUCUUCUGCAACCGCCCGUCGCUGCAAAGCCCCGCCGCAGCCCAUCCUCGCAAUUGCCGCCGCGAGGAGCGGCUCGCCCUCUCGAACCGUUGGGAGGUUGAAGAAGGCUAAGGUACUGGGUAAGUGCUAAAACCCGUUAACCCUCAACCCGUUAGCCCAGAUCCGAAAAAAAAGAAAGAGAGAAAAUACCUGUUCAUCUUCUUUCCCGAUCUUCUCCCUCACGUUGCGGAACCGCCCUCUCCCUCAAGGUCGUCCGCAUUGCCCUCGUCACCACGCCGCAGCUGCCGCACCACGACGUCCUCCGCCGCAGUACCUCCGCUGCCGAACGCCGAUGCCCAAGCAGUCGACGCCC
rnacentral:lncRNA from 1 species